CAGUAGCCACGGUAAUACGAAGGGUGCAAGCGUUACUCGGAAUUACUGGGCGUAAAGCGUGCGUAGGCGGUUUGUUAAGUCUGUUGUGAAAUCCCCGGGCUCAACCUGGGAACUGCGCUUGUGACUGCACAGCUAGAGUAUGGCAGAGGGGGGUGGAAUUCCACGUGUAGCAGUGAAAUGCGUAGAGAUGUGGCGGAACACCGAUGGCGAAGGCAGCCCCCUGGGCCAAUACUGACGCUCAUGCACGAAAGAGUGUGGAGCAAACAGGAUUAGAUACCCCCGUAGUCCCUGUCUCUUAUAC
rnacentral:rRNA from 1 species